CCAUUGGCGGCGGCAUCCAGAGAGAACCCAAAAUGCAUUCACGAUCCUUUAAAUCGCCCAAAUCUGCUGCGGCCACUUCAUUUAUCAGUUCGCCGCCGUCGCCCGAAUCAAUCGGAAGCUGAAUCGCCGCGCCUGAUCUCUGAAUAGCUGUUCGAAUGAAAUGCUUGUGCGUGCUUGGUGCGGUGGUGAUGCGAGGGUUUCUGCUCUGUGAGGAUUUGGGGUAUUGCAGCUUGCUGGCUUCUCUGCUUUCACCUCCUUGGAUCGGUAUAGGCAAGGUGUCCUUGUACGACUGAUGACGGUAUCGCAACUUGAGACCAUAACAUAUGUAUAAGGUAGUCGCAUUUAUUUUUCUUAGACUUAGGCUAGAAUAGUGUCCAUGGUUGUAUUUUAAGAUGAAGGUUAUGAUGUUUUACGAAAGUUUAAAUUAAGCAUUUUCGCAUUCAA